GAUGAACGCUGGCGGCGUGCCUAAUACAUGCAAGUCGAGCGAACAGACGAGGAGCUCGCUCCUCUGACGUUAGCGGCGGACGGGUGAGUAACACGUGGAUAACCUACCUAUAAUACUGGGAUAACUUCGGGAAACCGGAGCUAAUACCGGAUAAUAUAUUGAACCGGAUGGUUCAAUAGUGCAAGACGGCUUUGCUGUUACUUAUAGAUGGAUCCGCGCCGCAUUAGCUAGUUGGUAAGGUAACGGCUUACCAAGGCUACGAUGCGUAGCCGACCUGAGAGGGUGAUCAGCCACACUGGAACUGAGACACGGUCCAGACUCCUACGGGAGGCAGCAGUAGGGAAUCUUCGGCAAUGGGCGAAAGCCUGACGCAGCCACGCCGCGUGAGUGAUGAAGGUCUUCGGAGCGUAAAACUCUUUUAGUAGGGAAGAAAAACAGUGUGAGUAACUAUGCACGUCUUGACGGUACCUAAACAAAAAGCCACGGCUAACUACGUG
rnacentral:rRNA from 1 species